UGCCUUAUUUAGAUUUCUUAACAUGUUGAUGUUGCAUGAUUUGUUCUUCAUUCACAAAUGCCUUGUCAAAAGUUUUAUUAAUCAGCUAUUUCAAAUUAUGAAUCUUUCUUCUUGCAGAUGGAAAUAUACAAAGACAACCUCAUACUUAAGUGCUAUUCACCAGUCACCGUCUCAAAUGAUGACUUUCCUGUGAUGCACAAACACACCGACAUCCUCACACACACAAAAAAGGCUGAUGGGAGGGGAGUGUGAAUUCCGUUUUCGUCACUCCGUUUUUCAUCUCUAAUCUGCUUGUCAAUGACUAACGGAAUGCAAAGAAUGCGGGAGAGAGACAGACGGACAGAGAGGGUGAAAGAGAGUGACUAAAGGAGUGAGUGAAAGUGAGAGGACGAGGAAAGUCUUUCAUCUUAUUUAUUUUCCAAAGUAUCUACAAGUUCACCUAAUGUUAAGACGUCACAAAACUUCAACCCACAUAACAGUCACAAACAUUAAUGAAAGACAAACACAAGGUACUGGUGGCCAAAGAUGACGAUAGGUGCUUCUGUACUAACCCAGGGAGUUUUUUAACACUUGAUGACUGUAACUUUUUUUUUUUUUUGCAUUAUGUGUCUCAAAGUUAUAUGUAAAAGUGGCAUAUAAUGCCACUUUUACAAUAUGGAAAAUAAGUCACUGAUGUCCCCAGAGUGUGUAUGUGAAGUUUUAGCACAAAAUACCCCACAGAUCAUUUUUUAUAGCAUGUUAAAUUUAUCACUUUUUGAGGGUGAGCAAAAACACGCCAUUUUUGUGUGUGCCUUUAAGUGCAAAUGAGCAGCUGCUCCCAAGAAGAGGGCAAGAGCCUGUGUUAGCAGCUCCGAGUCCGAUUACCUCACGCAGAAUCACUGAAAAUGUCAGAAACUGUUCAGCCUUUUGUGUUCAAACCCGAGUCGGACAAUGACGGAGAGACUCAAGAAGAAGUGACAACAUGUGAAACAGGACAUUUCUGAAUGAUCCACACUACUGGAUGUUUUGACUACAUCAACGCUUUCCAAGAAGAGGGAGAAAAUGGUGGCUUGAGCGGCUUCAACAUGCUGUCUGUCAGAGAUGAUAACGUACCUAAUUCAUAACGUAUAAAUUUGUUCUUCCCUCACUGAAACUGAAUUGGAAUGAUCAGGGAACUGAGUGAAAUACUUCAGUUGAAAAGCUUUGCUGCGUUAGUGAACAUUGUUCAACUUGUUGGUUUUGACGGACAUUUUUUUAUGCACGAAUUACGCAUUCUGAUUCUUACAUUCCUGAUUUUAAUAUUUUCAAUACUUUUCUAUUCUUGAUUAACAUUUUUUCUUGAAUCUUGAAUUUAACUCUCCUAUGCUGAUGUAAUAUAUAUUAUAAAUUUGAUGUGAUUUUUAGUUUGAUCACUAUCUUUUCAUUUGCAAUUAUUAGUUUGAUAAAAUGUUGUUUAAUUUUCCAAUUAAAUGUGAUACAUUUUUACAUGAUGUGUAACAUUUUAUUACCCCUUCGCAGAUUUUGACUCAUAAUAUUUCCAUAUUUGUCAGCUACAAAUCAAGGUAUUUCAGAUCUUCAUUAUUAUUGUUCAAAAUAAUCAUUAUGGCAUCACAAAUCUAUGGCAAAUGUCAGCUUAUACACUGCCCCAUUUUGUUCAGUCUUUGUUUUGGACAGUGUUACAACCCUCCCUGUCUGCACAGAAAUGAUAUUUUUUCUAUUUCUAUGAUAUGAUCUAUUUCAUGAUAUUUUUAACAUGUAGAGGAGUGGAUAUUAUACAAUAUGAUUAAAAGGUUGUUAAAAGUCAGGUACAAUUUUUUUAACCACCUUUCAGGAUUCUUUGAUUUAGAAAGUUUAUUAGAUAUAGAAAUCUACAUUAUAAAUGUCUUUACUGUCACUUUUGAUUCAUUUAAUGCAUCCUUGUUGAAUAAAAUUAUUAGUUUUUCUCAAUCGCUUUGGCACAUUUUUAGAAAAUUUUAACAUUCUCUAACUGUAAGUGCAAUUGUCACAACUGUUUGCUGGAACAUCAGCACUCUAUUGUAUGUCUGCAAAAUGUAGUAACUCACUCAAAACAUUUAAUUAAUACUUAAAAACCUAGUUCUUGUAUCAGUAAAUUGGCCAGUGCCACCAAAAUAGAAAGUGUUUUUGUCAUCGUGUGAGCCACACUGGUCAAAUGUUUAGAUGUUUUUCAUUAUGGAAAUAUUUGUUAUAUGUGUUUUCUACUUUUUAGUUGACACUGUCUGCUUUCAACACUAUACAAGAAAAUCAGUUUUGUCUAUCUGAUUGCUCUUGUGUAUCACACUGACCCCCGGUUUCACAGACAAGGUUUAAGCUAGUCCCAGACUAAAAUGCAUGUUUGAGCUGUUUUAACUGAAAGCAACUUGUACUGACAUAUCUUAAAAUGUCAGUGCCAUUGUUUUGUCUCAAGAUAAACAUCAGUAAUGUUUUUUUCUAGUGUACAUUUAUAAAAGCUUCUUAAAUAUCCUAAUUGAACUAAGGCCUAAUCCUGGUUUAAGCUAAUCCCUGUCUGUGAAACCGAGCCUGAGCUUUUUAGAUACAGAUUCCAGCAGUAGGUAAACAUUUAAUAGGAAAAGUCAAUAGUACAGACACACACACACACACACACACACACACAAAAUGGACAUUUGUCCACACUUUAUUUUAGGUGUCCUUAUCUACUAUGUACUUACAUCAAAAAAUAUGUACAGUGUACUUAUUGUGUUCAUGUUGUAUUGCAAAACACUUGUGCUGCUAUUGAGGUGGAGGACAGGUUUAGUGGUAUGGGUAGGUUCACGUAAGGGUGGGUUAAGGGAAGGCUCAACAGUGUAAUUACAGCUGUAUUUUUUUUUUUUUUUUUUUUUUAAAUAAGUACAAUGUAAAAACAUGUACACAAUAGGUGCAUUGUAUCAAAUUAUUCAUUUACAGUAAGUGUUAGACCAAAGUAGUUAAAAACACCUAAUAUAAAGUGGGACUGAACAUUUUCAUUUAUACAGCACAUUUAUUUUUGUAUUUUUAAACAUAACACAGUUAUGUUUAGUUUGUCUUAGUUUAUCAUGUCUUUUUAGUUUUCAUUCAUUCUCAUGUAUUCCUUUGUUCGACUUUCCCACCACUCCUUUGUUACCGUGGUCACCGUAAUUAUGAGUUUGUUUGGUUCAGCAAAGUUCCAGUAAUUAUCUUGUUUGAGUUCCUAUUUAUGUACCCUCAUGUUCAUUCCCUGUUCAGUCACGUUCACAUUUACUGUCUGUUGCUACCUUCUGGUAACCUUGUGGAUAUUUGAUAUUAAACUUGUGUUGGAACUAGGGCUGCACGAUUUAUCGCAAUUUUAUCGCAUGCAAUUUGGCAAAGGCUGCGAUUAUUAUCUGCGCAGCUUGUCAGAGCUAUACGGCUUUGUGAUCAGUAGUAAAUGCUUCUGAAAUCUGAAAGCCAGAGGGCGCUCUCGUGCAGAAAUUGCAAAUAUGCCCUGCAGCAGAAGUAGAACACGUGUCAUUCCAGGAAAUCCCAUAUUAUCGCUGUAGCUGAAUAAACAGAAUAUUGAAACGUUUGAUUAAACAUGACUAAUAAACACACGACUGCCUUAUUUUUUGUAAGAAGCCGCAUCAUUUCACAGAAGGAUGCUCAACUGUUGUUGUGAAGUGAGUUUGGAGUAAAAACAUGUUAUUAAAUGUCUUUUGUUGGACAAGAUGUUUAUAAACGCUUCUCAUGUCUGUAAAGAUGUUUGACGCGUGUUGCUUUUCAAAUGCACAUUAUAAGCGAUUCAAACUCGCAGUGCUUUCAGAUGGAUUAGCAUUUGGAGCCAUAGUUCAUUGACAAGCUGCGCAUUAAAAAAUAAUCGCACAAAGCCAAAUCGUUUAAGCGUGAUUUCAGUGGGUUUUUUUUCUAAUCGUCGGAUUAAUUGUGCAGCCCUAAUUGGAAUCUUAUUCUUCAUCUUCUUUUUGCCUGCAACCAUGUGCCACCUGCCCUCUAGACGACGAGACCCUGAAGAACCUGUUCUGGAUCGGGCCAAUUACCAUCAGCAUGUUGACCUCCCAGACACCUCUGGACUUAACUGGAGGAAUACCAUCAUUAGGUGGCUGGAGAGUGUCUUGCCCCAGUCGAGAGCACAGCCAGACCCAGAGCCUGAAUCACCAUUUUCGACUGAGGAGAAUUCAUGUGAGCCCCCUGCAGACAGAGAGCUACCACCUGCCACGACGCGUCAGCUAGAGCCCGAGGAGAAGAGGACAGAGCUGACCCUUGCCCUGGAAGUGGAGCUCCAUCGUGAGUCUGACCAGGGGUGUGAGCCUGUGGCAUCAGUGGAGUCUCCGGGGAGUCCUUGAUGUGACGUACUCUGCUUCCGCCACAGACCUACGGGCCGUCCGCUGCGCUCCGUUCCUCCACCCCUAUGGCUGCAGGGGGCUUCUCCUUCCCUUCGGCGUUGCUUCUGUCCUCAGUCACACCGGCUCUUCGGAUACUCUGGCUCCAUCUUUGACACUCGUCACCGCAGCAUCGCCGAGGUCUCCAGUGUCUGCGACACUCGUUUCCAUCGGCUCUCUGUCUGUGCUCAUGGAUCCAUCGCCAUCAUUUCCUGCAGUCAUCCACCAGCUGUCAUCAGCCACGACACCAUCUGGACUCCCCCCCACCUCGACUCUGCUGUGGCCUGUCGGCACUGGCAAGCUCUGGGUCUGUGCCAGCGAACUAUCUCCACCAUUGCCGCCAGGGGAUCGUCGUCUUCUAUCUGCCACCAUCCUUCUGUCGACACCAUAUUCCAUCACCAUCCCUUUGCCACAUCUUGUCACCACAUCCACGUCCACCUCCAAUCCCUUUCUCCCUCUGCUUUCCUCUGUUACUGCACGAGAUCGCGCCUAGCCGGAGGGGGGAGUUAUGUCAGUUAUGUUGAGUUUGUCUUAGUUAUCUUGGAUUUUUAGUUUGUUUUUAUUCAUUCUCAUGUGUUCCUUUAUUUGACUUUCCCACCACUCCUUUGUUACCAGGGUCACCGUCAUUGAGUUUGUAUGGUUCAGCUGUUUUAUUAAUCAUCUUGUUUGAGUUCCUAUUUAAGUUCCCUCAUGUGAGAGUACGUUAAUGUAGUACCCUCAUGUUCAUUCUCUGUCCAGUCACGUUCACAUUUACUGUGUGUUGCUACCUUCUGUUAACCUUGUGGAUAUUUGAUAUUAAACUCGUGUUGGAACCGUAUU